rnacentral:rRNA from 1 species
GACGAACGCUGGCGGCGUGCUUAACACAUGCAAGUCGAACGGAAAGGCCCUGCUUUUGUGGGGUGCUCGAGUGGCGAACGGGUGAGUAACACGUGAGUAACCUGCCCUUGACUUUGGGAUAACUUCAGGAAACUGGGGCUAAUACCGGAUAGGAGCUCCUGCUGCAUGGUGGGGGUUGGAAAGUUUCGGCGGUUGGGGAUGGACUCGCGGCUUAUCAGCUUGUUGGUGGGGUAGUGGCUUACCAAGGCUUUGACGGGUAGCCGGCCUGAGUGGGUGACCGGCCAAGUUGGGGCUGAGGAACGGCCCGGACUCCUACGGGGGGCAGCAGUGGGGAAUAUUGCACAAUGGGCGGAAGCCUGAUGCGACAACGCCGCGUGCGGGAUGGCGGCCUUCGGGUUGUAAGCCGCUUUCGCCUGUGACGAAGCGUGAGUGACGGUAAUGGGUAAAGAAGCACCGGCUAACUACGUG